GGGGACAUAGCUCAGUUGGGAGAGCAACAGACUGAAGCUCGUCUUUAAGAAAUUCUCUUCUGGAGGUCCCCAGUUCAAUCCUGGGUGUCCCCA